GGCCCAGGCAACCACAUUAUUGAGUGCAGCGUUGACGAUGAUAAAAAUUUUCUACAAAAUAUCUAUCUUUGUAGAAUGAUAAGUAUAUCGUAACUUUGCACUCUCUAAUCUGUUUGCCAAUGGCU
rnacentral:pre_miRNA from 1 species